UUAAUUAUUGUAUUUAGUCUUCUUUCUUUGUUUCCUCCUUUUCUUUUUCGCCUUCCUCCUCUUCAAUUUCGAUGAGCACCUGGAUGCAGGCCGAAGCGGG
rnacentral:ribozyme from 12 species